UUCGGGCGCCGGCGAGUGGCGAACGGGUGAGUAACACGUGGAGACCUUUCCAUUGGUGGGGGACAACAGCUGGGAACGGCUGCUAAUACCGCAUAAUCCCUACGGGGGAAAGAUUUAUCGCCAUAGGAGGGUUCCGCGUCGGAUUAGCUAGUUGGUGGGGUAACGGCCUACCAAGGCAACGAUCCGUAGCUGGUCUUAGAGGAUGAUCAGCCACACUGGGACUGAGACACGGCCCAGACUCCUACGGGAGGCAGCAGUGGGGAAUAUUGCGCAAUGGAGGAAACUCUGACGCAGCGAUGCCGCGUGGGUGAAGAAGGCCUUAGGGUUGUAAAGCCCUUUCAGUGGGAACGAUGGUGACGGUACCCACAGAAGAAGCCCCGGCUAACUCCGUGCCAGCAGCCGCGGUAAUACGGAGGGGGCGAGCGUUGUUCGGAGUUAUUGGGCGUAAAGCGCGCGUAGGCGGUUUAUUAAG
rnacentral:rRNA from 1 species